rnacentral:sRNA from 1 species
GAUUGAUAUAUAGAUCAAUAGUAUAGUCCAGGAGGUAUACUAACGAGUAGCUGAGCCAUGGAUCAUCGGUAGGAGAGCAAACACACGAUACGGAAACAGCGGACGAUUCGGUCGAAUGGAUGGAAUAGCUUUUAUAGUAUUUUUCGAGGCAUGAUAAUCCUUACCUUACUCUUAUAAAAGGUAUGAAAGGCCAUUGAGCGUGCAACAAUACAAACAAAAAUAAAUAAAAAUACGCUUCAGUUGAGAUUUUGGUCUUUGUGGGAAGGUUUCGUAACUAGACCAUUCGCUGGCCCUCAAAGGAUGCCCUAUAUUUGGAAAAUUCUCCGACAAGCAGCCCCCACACAGAAAAUUAAGUCGUGUGUGCGGGGUGACAAUUAAAGUUGUCAAAUAUUUAUCCACUGGUUGACAGACUCUCAAUUUGUGGCAUGCACGUGCAAAUUGAGUCCAACAAACAAAAGCAACGUGAAAAUAACACGGAAAUUAGCAAGUUUUUAAGAGUGCAAACAGAAAAAAAGAGAAAAGCAAAUGCAGCCAGUGGCAGGGAUAGAGCAUGUCAACAGCGGCAGUGCCAACAAACAAAGGGAGCUCGCUCAAGUGUGCAACAUUCCCCCACACACACACACACGCCGCCUACUGCCACACACACACACACACACACACACACACACACACACACACACACCGAGGGCAAGUGCACACUUGAGCGGGAACAAAGCGCCGCUAAUUGUAAAUUGCAACAUUCUAAUAUUCUAAAAACUCUGCGGCUUACGGCGGGGCAUCCAAAAUGCAAUGCAAAUGAGAAACGAAACUUGUGCCGCGCCGAAACUCAAAAC